rnacentral:rRNA from 1 species
UACGGGAGGCAGCAGUGGGGGAUUUUCCGCAAUGGGCGAAAGCCUGACGGAGCGAUGCCGCGUGAGCGAAGAAGGCCUUCGGGUCGUAAAGCUCUGUCCAGGGGGAAGAAGAGGUGACGGUACCCCUGGAGGAAGCCCCGGCUAACUACGUGCCAGCAGCCGCGGUAACACGUAGGGGGCGAGCGUUGUCCGGAAUUACUGGGCGUAAAGCGCGCGUAGGCGGCCGAGCAAGUCAGGGGUGAAAGCCGGCGGCUCAACCGCAGGAGUGUUCUUGAAACUGCUCGGCUUGAGGGCAGGAGAGGGGAGUGGAAUUCCCAGUGUAGCGGUGAAAUGCGUAGAUAUUGGGAGGAACACCAGUGGCGAAGGCGGCUCUCUGGCCUGGACCUGACGCUGAGGCGCGAAAGCGUGGGGAGCGAACAGGAUUAGAUACCCUGGUAGUCCAGCGCCUGUAAACGAUGGGUGCUAGGUGUUGGUGUCGCUGAGGCAUCAGUGCCGUAGUCUAACGCGAUAAGUCACCCCGCCUGGGGAGUACGGUCGCAAGACUGAAACUCAAAGGAAUUGACGGGGGCCCGCACAAGCGGUGGAGCAUGUGGUUUAAUUCGACGCAACCCGAAGAACCUUACCAGGGCUUGACAUCCCGCGACAGCCGUACAGAUACGGUUUUCCAUA